CUACGGGCGGCUGCAGUGAGGAAUAUUACACAAUGGGGGAAACCCUGAUGCAGCAACGCCGCGUGGAGGAUGACGCAUUUCGGUGUGUAAACUCCUUUUAUCAGAGAAGAAAAUGACGGUAUCUGAUGAAUAAGCUCCGGCUAACUCCGUGCCAGCAGCCGCGGUAAUACGGAGGGAGCAAGCGUUAUUCGGAAUCACUGGGCGUAAAGGACGCGUAGGCGGGUUUUUAAGCCAGGUGUGAAAUCCUAUGGCUCAACCAUAGAACUGCACUUGAAACUGGGGACCUAGAGUAUGGAAGGGGCAGGUGGAAUUAGUGGUGUAGGGGUAAAAUCCGUAGAUAUCACUAGGAAUACCGAAAGCGAAGGCGACCUGCUGGGACAUUACUGACGCUGAGGCGUGAAAGCGUGGGGAGCAAACAGGAUUAGAUACCCCUGUAGUC
rnacentral:rRNA from 1 species